ACCUGAUUGGCUCAGUUGGAAGAGCAAGCAAUUCUUGAUCUCAGGGUUAUGAGUUCAAGUCUCACAUUGGGUG
rnacentral:tRNA from 1 species